rnacentral:lncRNA from 1 species
GGCCAGGGCUCGUGGCCCUUUCCCCUGUCCCUGCAAUUGGCAAUCUGUUCAGGCCAGCUGCACCGUCCACACAGGAAAACUCCACGAGGUACUGUCCAGCAUCUUCAGGACACUGCUGGGUGCAGUCACCACGUGGCCAGUCUUCAUGGGCAGAUUUGUCUUUGGAGAAUAUGUCUUCUGGGUCUUGGGGCUGGGAUCUAAAUGUGCUGUCUUUUUUGGGGUGGGGGAGUUGACAAUCAGCAAUUAUUAACACUGUCAUGACCUGCAAAUAAGAUUUCUUGCAAAGGAACAAUUAAAUACUGCUUAGCAGUUAUUUAGACUUUACAUAGACCAAGGAAAGGCUAAGAUGGGGGAAAAAAAAAAAACUCCCUUCAGCUUAUCUGUAGUAGCUUUGUUUCUUGAAAAAAUAUUUUUGAGGAGAAUAAACUUAACCAAAGAGAUGGAAGACAAGGACACAAAAUGUUGAAGCUAUAUUAAAUCUGUAAAAUUUGUUGAAAGAAGUUAAAAAAAGACACAAACAGAAAGACAUUCCAUGUUCAUGGAUUGGAAGAUUAAAAAUAAGAUCUCAAUAUCACCCACAGUGAUCUGUAGAUUCAGUGCGAUCUCUGUUGAAACACCAACACAUUUUUGCAGAAAAAAAAUUAUACUAAAAUUUAUAUAAAUCUCAAGGGACCCUAGUUGGUCUACCUGUCUAUUUUGGUGCCAAUACCAUGCUGGUUUUGUUACUAUUGCUCUGUAGUAUAGUUUGGAUGUCUCAAACUUUCUGAUUUUAGAAGAUCACACAAAGCUACAGUAGUUAAAGCAGUGGAGAACUGGCAUGAAGCUAGACGUAUAAAACAGGGGAAGGGAACAGAGAGCCCAGAAGUAAGCCCUUGUGCACGUGGUCCAGUGAUGUAGGCUCGGUGUCAAGACCGCAGCACGGGGAAAGCAUGGUGUCUUCUAUGCAUGGUGCCGGGACGGGCACACUCACAGGCCAAGGAGUGAAAUCGCACCCUUCCCUCACCUGUGAAUAAAAAUGAACUCAAAAUUGAUUUAAAAGACUUUCCCUGAAACAGGGAAAUCUCCCAUGACCUUGGAUUUGGCAAUGAUUUCUUGAACUUGACACCAAAAGUGAAAAACAAAGGGAUUACAUUAAACUUCAAGACUGUGCACCAAAGGACAUAAUUUACAGAGUGAGAAGACAACCUACAGAUUGAGAGAAAUGCUUGUUAAUAGCCACAAAGAACUCCUACCACUUAACAGCAACAAGAAGGUAACUUAAGAAGUGCAAGGAUUUGAACACUCAUUUCUCCAAACAUGAUAUACAAGUGGCCCAACAAGAAUCCAGAAAGAUGCUCACUAUCACCAAUCUUUAGAGAAAUGAGAAGCAAAACCGUGAGAUAUCACCUCAUGUCCACCAACAUUUAUAAAAUAAACAAAAAAUAAAACAGGUGUUGGCAAGGAUACUGAGGACUGGCAAUGCCACGGGCUGCUGGUAGGUAUGUAAAGUGGCAUGGCCGUGGGUGAACCUUGUAUCUGUCCCGUAAAACAUUAAAACUAGAAUCCCCAGAGAUCCAGCUAGGCCACUGCUUGGUCUGUGUCCAGAGGUACUGAGAGCAGCUUCUCAAGACAGGCAACCUCACCCCCACGCUCACACCCCACUGCGCACUCAAGGCAUGAGAGCCAAUGGGGCAAGCAACCAAGUGUCUAUUGAUGGAUGAAGGAACAAACAACGUGGCAUUUAUGUACAAUGGAAUCUCUCUCAGCCUUGAAAAGAAGGAAGUCCUGUGACAUGCUGUGACUUGGGAGAUCCUGGAAGACAUCAUGCUAAAUGAAACACUCCAGUCAUAAAAGGCACUCUGCACAAUUCUAC